UUUUAUAUGGCUGGAAAAAGGACAAAGGUACGGUGCUGGAGACUCCAGGUCAUCUCAAAUUGGCCUCCUUCCCAAUCUUCCCCACUCUAGCUCCAGUGGGCAAGAUCUCUUAUGGUGCCGGGAAGCAGUCUGUGGGUCUCGGGUUGUCAACAUGAACUAGAUGGCUCUACCUUUCUGUGUAUGAUUUCUGAAUUCAGUGUAUUUCAUGUCUUAACCUUCUGAAUUGUUUGUUCUCUCGUUUUCCAUGUUGUUAAGGAAAAUUAGAGGCUAAGUGAGACUUAUAAAUUUGCAUGUAGUUUCUCAGAUCAGGAUAAAUGCUCACCUGUUGCAGAACGGGACUCUGCUCUUGCUUUACCCAGGAUGUGUUUCCUAGUUCCUUCCUAGAGUGGGGCCACACCCUGCUCCAGCCCUCCAGACCCAGCUCUCUGCUCUGACAUGAUUCCACCAGACUGUAUUCCAGCUGUCCUCCCUAACCUGGACCUAGAUAUUUUCUAUCUUUUCUUUUUUUUUUUUUUGAGAUGAAGUCUCACUCGGUGGUCCAGGCUGGAGUCCAGUGGCACAAUCUCGGCUCACUGCAACCUCCACCUCCCAGGUUCAAGUGAUUCUUCUGCUUCAGCCUCCUGAGUAGCCGGGAUUACAGGUGCCGGCCAUCACGCCCGGCUAAUUUUUGUAUGUUUGUAGAGACGGGAUUUCACCA
rnacentral:lncRNA from 1 species